AAAGAAGUCUGGCGAGUGGAAAAUGCCCGGAACCCUCACUGGACCAACGAUGUAGCAACGGCGCUCUUCUCGUUCACCCCAAACACUGACAUCACCGACACGUCUCCCAGGGUGUGAGCCCAGGCGUGUGGGCACCGUCCCUCCCCAGCCCCAGCAGCUGUGCUCCGUGAUAGACAACCAUGGACCCUCUCGCAGCCAACGAGGACCUGGGUCUCAGCCCACACGGUGCCCACCUGCCUCGGUGCCUCGGUUACCCCUGACUUCACUCAGCUCAGGGGCAGAAAUGGUGUUACCAUGACUCCAGGCUCAGAGGCGGAGGGACCUUAAAGGAAAGAGGGGCAGCUGGGGGAGCCCAAGAACUGUUCUAGGUACGUAUUUCUAUGUUAUUAUUAUUUUUAAUGUGCUGUGUAAUUAUCAUGUAAAGAUAUAGUAUACUCAUAAAUAUAAAAUAUAUACAGCUAUAUAAAAUUUAUACUUGUAUACAAAUAAUGCUUUGUUAUAAAUAUACUAGA